GAAAAGUGUGGAUAUGGAGAUGCAAGAGCAUUUGGGGUAUGCGUUUGUUCAUUAUGACCGCCAGUGCUAGACAUCACAUGGGAUUGAUCAUUGGGACGAUUUGUAAGGUGUAACUAAAGCGAUGUCAAAAAAACAUUCCGCACACAUUAAGAGGUUUGAACCAGGAUCCGAAAGGAAGAGAGAAGAACAUAAAAGGAAAUAAGAAGACUUAGUCGUGCAUCAAGUCAUCAACCCUAGCUAGUCCUUAAUUACUGCUUAGAUCGAAUUUUAAAGCAAUAUAUGAAGAAAGAGGCAUAAUUUUCUAGUAGUGUGACUAUGACAUAGGCACAUACCUUGAUUUUGUGGUGGUUGGAGUUGUUCAUUCUCUGAAGCACUGGAUUGGGACGCUGUUAUUGGAUCUAUAUGCACUGGAUUGCCACCAAUGACUUGAAC